AACUCUUUUUCUGGAUAUUGGUGCAACCCGUAUAUGCAAAGCUGCUUUUUUCAACAUCAAAUCAUCACAUUCAUGUUGAUUGUGUAACAGGAAAAUAGUGACAGUAAGUCAAAGAGUGUGUUAUUUAGGCCAACAUAUCCCUGGUGUUAAAGUGCCUCUAUGAUGGGUAUACAGAAUAGUACACUUCCAACAAUGAGGGUAUGGCUGAAUUAGAUUAUUUAGCUUUUAAGUUAAUAUUUAAAAUAGAGACUUUUUGACAAUUAUUAAACCACAAAAAGUUUAUUUUUUUUGAGUUCAUUAAAAUGUUAAAUGUUUUUUCUUUUCUUUUAUUUUUUUUUAUUUAUUUUUUUACUGCUAAUCGAUUGGUUUGUCUGAAAGAUUGUUCUGGGAUCGAUUGGUUAUGACUUCCCCCCGCCACUAGGGGGAGUCGCACCGUUCCUCCUCAUUGCCAUAAACACCUGCACGAGGAACACGCCGAAAUCCCUCGUGAUUCUUUCUCCGCCUUUUUCAGCUGUGAAGGAAGCCAACAAAGAAAUAUCUGCUUUUACUUCUUGGAACUCCUCAAUACUCCCCGUCUCCUGCUGCAUCAGUAAUUCAGUCAGGAAAAAAAAAAACAUUUGGCAGCCUAUAAGGAUUACUUCAAACGUGAUGAAAAUCUUCACUCAGGCAGAUAUGGAGCUGACUAACGGAGCAAAGCAUCUAAUUUCCAGCAAACUCCUCCAGCCCUGGGAGAAUUAUCAAUAUAAAAACACAAUGUAAAAGUAACGAUUGUGAGCCGUUGUAAACCUGUCAACAGUGGAGUCGUUUUGUGAAGAAUAAAUGGGAGAAUGUGACUGGAA